rnacentral:rRNA from 1 species
UACGUAGGAGGCAAGCGUUGUCCGGAAUCACUGGGUGUAAAGCGCGUGUAGGCGGUCCGGUAAGUCCGCUGUGAAAGUCGGGGGGCUCAACCCUCGGAUGCCGGUGGAUACUGUCGGGCUUGAGUACGGAAGAGGCGAGUGGAAUUCCUGGUGUAGCGGUGAAAUGCGCAGAUAUCAGGAGGAACACCAAUUGCGAAGGCAGCUCGCUGGGACGUUACUGACGCUGAGACGCGAAAGCGUGGGGAGCAAACAGG